rnacentral:rRNA from 1 species
CCCUUAGAUGUCCUGGGCCGCACGCGCGCUACACUGACAUGUUCAACAAGCCUCCUAGUUCGACAGGAUUUGGGAAAUCUUUGAACGCAUGUCGUGAUAGGGAUAGAUCAUUGCAAUUAUUGAUCUUGGACGAGGAAUUCCUAGUAAACGCGAGUCAUCAGCUCGCAUUGAUUACGUCCCUGCCCUUUGUACACACCGCCCGUCGCACCUACCGAUUGAAUGUUUCGGUGAAGAUUCCGGAUAGGACUUUUUUGAUUUAUUUCAAUUCUGUCUUAAAAGCUAUCUAAACCUCAACAUUUAGAGGAAGGUGAAGUCGUAACA